UACGGCGAGCUGUCAACCGCCACGCGAGGCUACCAGGCCGACUUCCGCUAGAUACUCGGUCUUUCGUUCUCAAAAAUUCGAACAGUGCAGUUCAGUGAGCUCCACUCCGAACCAGAAGGAAAAUGAGAGCUAAGUGGCGUAAGAAGCGUAUGCGUAGGUUGAAGCGUAAGCGCAGGAAGAUGCGUGCAAGGUCCAAGUAAUCGCAGCGCCAUCGCCCACUAACUGGAACUCUUGAUUGAUGCUAACACGCCGAAACGAAAACGCCGCCUGGGUCGCCCUGAAAAUGGGGCCCACAUGUAAUUUUGCAAAACCAGUUUUCACACAAACGUACAUGUGCAUUUCAAAUUCACGUUUCAUUUCCCGUAAAAAUUGAUUCUAAUAAAUUACUGGAUUUUCGCCAAGGUUCCACGAGAAAAA